CCCAGGAUCAAGUGGUGUUAAAUUGAGAAGUCAUCCUGAUCACCUGACUAGUGGUGAACCCCGAUUUAAGAAUUUCCAAGUCUACCCUCGCCAUCUCUAAAUGUACAGACGCACCGCACUCCCUGCCCUGGGGUCACCACCGAAGCCUCCUGGUGGAGCCCUGCCCUGCUGAGGACGCUCUUCCAGCACAGAACUCACCACCAAAAAGAGACGGCGCCCAGCUGGCGCCCGCCCCGGGCACAUUGCAGUAAAUGCCUGGCAGCGACUUCUCGCUUCUCCUUCCUCCUACCCCAUCGACCCUCUGCUGCCGACCUUUACGCCAAACUCCGGCGCGCCGCGAGACUCGCGUCCUCCCUGUCCCCGAGGGGCCCCACCCCUUCCCGGUUCUAACCUGCGACCUGGCCAGAGGCAAGGGUAGGUCGACUUCCUGCCCGGAAUUUGCCGUUGGCUUCUCCUUCUCUACUCCAGUUCUCUAGUGCAGGGCUGUGCGGCGCGGAGCCGCCAGCGGCAGAACAGACCCCGGACCGGAGCUCUGGGAUACACACACGCGCAGCCCGGAGGGACUGACCCCUGACGCGCGCUCGGCCGGGGGAGGGAGGGGACCAGGGCCAGAGCGGAGGCGAGGGUCACCUGGGGUUGGGGGUGGGCGCACCAGCUCUCCGCACGCUCCUCUCUUUCUAGUCCUCGCCGCCACCACCUCGCACAGUGAAUGGGAAGAUGGAGAUGGAUGUUGAGGGAGUUUCUCCGCGCCCGGAGCCCAUCCCCCGCUCCCAGGGGGCUGGCGGAGCCUGCCAGGCGCCGCCACAGCCGCCCCAGCCCCAGCCGCCGCCGCAGCAGCUGGCUCAGGAUGAACUGCCCGGCGAGAGUGCAGGCGCUGAGGACAGCGACGAUCCCGAGACGAGACCCAACGGCGAGAAAGGAGAGAGCAGGAGAUGCCAUGGUCAACAAGGUGAUGAAUACCACUGUGAGCUCACUACAAGAUCUCAAAGAUUUCAAGCCACUGGCUGUUCCAAAGCAUGAAGCCGCCCUUCCGGAGCAGUGGCAGGAGGCAGGCAGGGAGGAGGCCCCGAGUUUUGGCCAGAUGAUGGACCGUCUCCUUAGGUGUCCAGGGAGCUGCUGAAACAUAGUGAGGAAGAUGCUGCUGAUCCAAAGGAUAAAAACACAGAAACUGAAACCAAGAAGCACCUAAAGUGGACUCACGCCCAGCAUCCCUGCAGACUGAUGUUCUCUCAGCUAUAGUUCUGCAUUGAACUGUUUUCCUUUGCUAUCACCUGCCUAACACACAGUCCUGGAUGCUUUUCACUGGUUGGAUUUCUUUCUUUUUUUUUUUUUUUCCCUGCCUUUUCAUUUUCUUUCCUUUUUUUCCUGCCUUUUCUUUUUCUUUCCUUGACCCUGGGAAUUACAAACAAGAAAUUGCUUUAAAAAGUAUUAUUCAGUGCUGAAAAUAGCCUUGUUUAUGAACAAGUUUUAUCCCUACGGAUUUCCUGAAAUGCAAUCUCAGGUUACCUUGUAAAUGGGGCUGUGCCAUUUGAUUUGUAUAGUACUGAUCUGUAAGUUAAAAUACAUUUCCUUUCCUUUGUUUCAUUCUUUUUUUAAAAGUUUGGAUCCAGGUAAUGGCCUGAAUCACAUUUGCUUAGCUACUGAAGUGAUCUCAAUGUGUUAUCGCUUAGAGUUGAAACAUAAUCAAACAUACGUUAUACCUGGGGCUCUUGCAUACUCUUUGAUACAUAUGUCACACUACAAAGAAACACAAACCUUGUAGGUUGAAAUUUAAUUCCUGUUUGAUCCUGCAGCUAGAAUGCUAAGGAAAUUGUAAAUAUCAAAAUUGGCUUCAAAUACCCUGAAUAUAAGCUAGUCAACAGUAAGUGGAUGGUUCCAGAAUACCAUUUUCUAAGACAAAGCAGGAAUUAGAGAUCAACUGACCUCAUCCAUAAUGUUGCUCAGGUCUGUCUGUGGAUCUGUCCAUUUUGGAGUAAAAAACAAGGCAUGCUUCUGUGAUUGUGUUUUUGAAAACUGUAGUCUUUCAGAUUUAUGUUUUGUAAUUGUGCUUGCCUUGCAAUAAAACACCUUCAGUUGACUCGCAAUAAGGUCUCUGUCAAUUUCCUGCAAAACUGUGUCCUUAUUGGCUUUCUAAAAAAGUUCAGUGUAGACCUAUCAGUGGUGACCUGCUAGACAUUUCAGCUGGAUCUAGCAUUAUUGCUCUUUCAGAAAUAACACUAGAGCUGUCCAUUGUCUACACAUGGGGUCAGAGUUGUACAGUCAGAUUCUCAAGUCUUCGUAUUAGCAUCAACUACAGAAAUCUAUAGUCACAGCCUAACCCUGUUACGUAUAUGUGCUUCCAUCUGCCAUUGUGUUCCAACUCUGGAGUCCCUAUUUAUUUGUGAGACUCUAGGAUAAGCCAAAAACCCUCUGGACCUCAGUGUCCUCAUGUACAAAAUGGGGAUAGUGAUACUUCCAAUGAUUGUGGUGAUAAGUGCCUGUAAAAGGACAUCACAUGGAUGGUACUUUGCACAUUGUAAAUUCAUUGGAAUGUGGCAAUAUUCAAUAAAUGGUGGUUAUUUUAUUUGUUAAUAAAGAAUUGAAUGAAUUUCUAAAUCUCUUACAGUUGACCUUUAGUUGAGAACACUGAGUAACUUCUGAAUAGUUUCUUAGCCCUCUUUACUUAAAGCUCUUGGAAAAAAACAUGAAGAUUCAUGAGACAGAAGUCUGGAGUGGAGAAUCUGCUGCUGCCUUCCUUGGCCACACAACCUAAUACCUUGGCUCCUUGAUUCCUCCUUCUGAAAAAUAGGGCAGAUGUUUUACCUCCUUCGCAGAGAUGAACAUAUCCUGUUCUCAGAAAAUGAUAUACUGUACACAUAACUGUAUGAGACAUUACCUUUUCCACUUGUUUGCAACAUCAAGCCCAUAUCAUCCAAGGGGAGGUGAGUAUCCCUCUAAAUACUGACAAGAAGAGCUCAUUAACUAAAGAAAAUAAUUCAGACCAUCAAGAAACAAAUCAAACUGGAUCUGUCACUUUAGUGGAAAGCACUUUUGAGAAAACCCUGGUAUUCUCUACCACCACGCCUGGGAUUUCAGGGUGAUCAAAAUGUGCAGCAAAGACAAGACCUAAGAUACUUCAUUUUGGGCUGGGUGGCAAAUGGAACAGUUGUUCUCUGAUUGCCAUGGUACAGAUUAUUGUCCCACAGACAUUAUCCCUGGAUUUCAAGACAUGCAUAGUAGAAAGAACAUUUUCUACUUUCUCCCUGAAGUCAUUAAAAUGACGAUAAUAAUUGCAAUAGCAAAUUAACAGUUAUUAAGCACUUACUAUAGGCUGGGAAUUAGGC
ensembl:lincRNA